GGGUGCGUAACGCGUAUGCAACCAACCCUCGUCCGGGGGACAGCCGGUGGAAACGCCGGGUAAUACCCCAUGUCGACCGAGAUGGGCAUCCAUUUCGGUUGAAAGGCUUCGGUCGGACGGGGACGGGCAUGCGUCCCAUUAGCUAGUAGGCGGGGCGACGGCCCACCUAGGCGACGAUGGGUAGGGGAUCUGAGAGGACGGUCCCCCACACUGGUACUGAGACACGGACCAGACUCCUACGGGAGGCAGCAGUAAGGAAUAUUGGGCAAUGGGGGGAACCCUGACCCAGCCAUGCCGCGUGAGGGAAGUAGGCCCUACGGGUCGUGAACCUCUUUUACUCGGGGACAAGGACCCGGUCGCGAACCGGGUUUGAGGGUACCGAGGGAAUAAGCAUCGGCUAACUCCGUGCCAGCAGCCGCGGUAAUACGGAGGAUGCGAGCGUUAUCCGGAUUCAUUGGGUUUAAAGGGUGCGCAGGCGGCCGGCCAAGUCAGCGGUGAAAGUCAGGGGCCCAACCCCGGAAGUGCCGUUGAUACUGGUUGGCUGGAAUGCGGUCGAGGCGGGCGGAAUGUGGCGUGUAGCGGUGAAAUGCGUAGAUAUGCCACAGAACGCCGAUAGCGAA
rnacentral:rRNA from 1 species